GACGAACGCUGGCGGCGUGCUUAACACAUGCAAGUCGAGCGGUAAGGCCCUUUCGGGGGUACACGAGCGGCGAACGGGUGAGUAACACGUGGGUGACCUGCCCUCAGCUCUGGGGAUAAGCCUGGGAAACCGGGUCUAAUACUGGAUAUGACUCCAUGACGCAUGUUGUGGGGUGGAAAGCCUUGUGCGGCUGAGGAUGGGCCCGCGGCCUAUCAGCUUGUUGGUGGGGUGAUGGCCUACCAAGGCGACGACGGGUAGCCGGCCUGAGAGGGCGACCGGCCACACUGGGACUGAGACACGGCCCAGACUCCUACGGGAGGCAGCAGUGGGGAAUCUUGCGCAAUGGGCGAAAGCCUGACGCAGCGACGCCGCGUGAGGGAUGACGGCC
rnacentral:rRNA from 1 species